rnacentral:rRNA from 1 species
GGGUUGUGAGGUUAAGCGACUAAGCGUACACGGUGGAUGCCUAGGCAGUCAGAGGCGAUGAAGGGCGUGCUAAUCUGCGAAAAGCGUCGGCAAGGUGAUAUGAACCGUAAUACCCGACGAUACCCGAAUGGGGAAACCCAGUGUGUUUCGACACACUAUCGCAACAUGAAUACAUAGUGUUGCGAGGCGAACCGGGGGAACUGAAACAUCUCAGUACCCCGAGGAAAAGAAAUCAACCGAGAUUCCCCCAGUAGCGGCGAGCGAACGGGGAGUAGCCCAGAGUGUGAAUCAGUUUGUGUGUCAGUGGAAGCGUCUGGAAAGUCGCACGACAGAGGGUGAUAGUCCCGUACACGAAGACGCAGAGGCUGUGAGCUCGAAGAGUAGGGCGGGACACGAGAUAUCCUGUCUGAAGAUGGGGGGACCAUCCUCCAAGGCUAAAUACUCCUGACUGACCGAUAGUGAACCAGUACCGUGAGGGAAAGGCGAAAAGAACCCCGGCGAGGGGAGUGAAAGAGAACCUGAAACCGUGUACGUACAAGCAGUGGGAGCCCCACCACCAAAGCGUUUGCUGUAACGUGUUGACGGAGCGAAGCGACGUCAAACCGAAUAAAACAGCAGUGCAGAUAUCGCAGGGCGCUUUGCACAUCGUGCAAAGACAGGCGAGUUCGCGCAGCGAAAGCGAAUGUUUUGGGGUGGGGUGACUGCGUACCUUUUGUAUAAUGGGUCAGCGACUUAUAUUCUGUAGCAAGGUUAACCGCAUAGGGGAGCCGUAGGGAAACCGAGUCUUAACUGGGCGUCAAGUUGCAGGGUAUAGACCCGAAACCCGGUGAUCUAGCCAUGGGCAGGUUGAAGGUUGGGUAACACUAACUGGAGGACCGAACCGACUAAUGUUGAAAAAUUAGCGGAUGACUUGUGGCUGGGGGUGAAAGGCCAAUCAAACCGGGAGAUAGCUGGUUCUCCCCGAAAGCUAUUUAGGUAGCGCCUCGUGAAUUCAUCUACGGGGGUAGAGCACUGUUUCGACUAGGGGGUCAUCCCGACUUACCAACUCGAUGCAAACUGCGAAUACCGUAGAAUGUUAUCACGGGAGACACACGGCGGGUGCUAACGUCCGUCGUGAAGAGGGAAACAACCCAGACCGCCAGCUAAGGUCCCAAAGUCAUGGUUAAGUGGGAAACGAUGUGGGAAGGCCCAGACAGCCAGGAUGUUGGCUUAGAAGCAGCCAUCAUUUAAAGAAAGCGUAAUAGCUCACUGGUCGAGUCGGCCUGCGCGGAAGAUGUAACGGGGCUAAACCAUGCACCGAAGCUGCGGCAGCGAACGUAUCACUUAAAACGCUUAACGUGACGGCGAAGCUGGCACGUUCAAGCCACACUAAACGUUGAGUCGGGCUGAGUGCCGACAGACGGCAAGGCGUUUUAAGGAUACGUUCGUUGGGUAGGGGAGCGUUCUGUAAGCCGUUGAAGGUGGCCUGUGAGGGUUGCUGGAGGUAUCAGAAGUGCGAAUGCUGACAUAAGUAACGAUAAUGCGGGUGAAAAACCCGCACGCCGGAAGACCAAGGUUUCCUGUCCAACGUUAAUCGGGGCAGGGUGAGUCGACCCCUAAGGCGAGGCCGAAAGGCGUAGUCGAUGGGAAACGGGUUAAUAUUCCCGUACUGGUUGUUACUGCGAAGGGGGGACGGAGAAAGCUAGGUUGGCCGGGCGACGGUCGUCCCGGUUUAAGCGUGAAGGUGGAUGACUUUGGAAAAUCCGGGUCAUUGUUAACACUGAGGCGUGAUGACGAGGCUCUACGGAGCUGAAGUAACCGAUGCUACGCUUCCAGGAAAAGCCUCUAAGCACCAGGUAACAAUCAAUCGUACCCCAAACCGACACAGGUGGUCAGGUAGAGAAUACUCAGGCGCUUGAGAGAACUCGGGUGAAGGAACUAGGCAAAAUGGUGCCGUAACUUCGGGAGAAGGCACGCUGGGGUUGGUGAAGUCCCUUGCGGAUGGAGCUGGACCCAGUCGCAGAUACCAGCUGGCUGCAACUGUUUAAUAAAAACACAGCACUGUGCAAACACGAAAGUGGACGUAUACGGUGUGACGCCUGCCCGGUGCCGGAAGGUUAAUUGAUGGGGUUAAGCGCAAGCUGAAGCUCUUGAUCGAAGCCCCGGUAAACGGCGGCCGUAACUAUAACGGUCCUAAGGUAGCGAAAUUCCUUGUCGGGUAAGUUCCGACCUGCACGAAUGGCGUAAUGAUGGCCAGGCUGUCUCCACCCGAGACUCAGUGAAAUUGAACUCGCUGUGAAGAUGCAGUGUACCCGCGGCAAGACGGAAAGACCCCGUGAACCUUUACUAUAGCUUGACACUGAACCUUGAGCCUUGAUGUGUAGGAUAGGUGGGAGGCAUUGAAGCGUGGACGCCAGUCUGCGUGGAGCCGACCUUGAAAUACCACCCUUUAAUGUUUGAUGUUCUAACGUGGGCCCCUGAGCGGGGUUGCGGACAGUGUCUGGUGGGUAGUUUGACUGGGGCGGUCUCCUCCCAAAGAGUAACGGAGGAGCACGAAGGUUAGCUAAUCCUGGUCGGACAUCAGGAGGUUAGUGCAAAGGCAUAAGCUAGCUUGACUGCGAGAGUGACGGCUCGAGCAGGUGCGAAAGCAGGUCUUAGUGAUCCGGUGGUUCUGCAUGGAAGGGCCAUCGCUCAACGGAUAAAAGGUACUCCGGGGAUAACAGGCUGAUACCGCCCAAGAGUUCAUAUCGACGGCGGUGUUUGGCACCUCGAUGUCGGCUCAUCACAUCCUGGGGCUGAAGUAGGUCCCAAGGGUAUGGCUGUUCGCCAUUUAAAGUGGUACGCGAGCUGGGUUUAGAACGUCGUGAGACAGUUCGGUCCCUAUCUGCCGUGGGCGUUGGAAGAUUGAGAGGGGUUGCUCCUAGUACGAGAGGACCGGAGUGAACGCACCGCUGGUGUACGGGUUGUGAUGCCAAUUGCAUUGCCCGGUAGCUAAGUGCGGAAGAGAUAACCGCUGAAAGCAUCUAAGCGGGAAACUUGCCUCGAGAUGAGUCUUCCCUGGGACAGAGUAGAGUCCCCUGAAGGGCCGUUGAAGACGACGACGUAGAUAGGCUGGGUGUGUAAGCGUAGCGAUACGUUGAGCUGACCAGUACUAAUGACCCGAGAGGCUUAACCUUACAACACCGAAGGUGUUU